GAGUGUUAUAGCUCUUUCAGAAUUUGUCUAGCAGGCUUUCCGGUUUAUGCCGAAGAGCACCC
ensembl:snRNA U7 U7 small nuclear RNA